rnacentral:rRNA from 1 species
GACGAACGCUGGCGGCGUGCUUAACACAUGCAAGUCGAGCGGUAAGGCCCUUUCGGGGGUACGACGAGCGGCGAACGGGUGAGUAACACGUGGGUGACCCGCCCUCAGCUCUGGGAUAAGCCCGGGAAACUGGGUCUAAUACCGGAUAUGACUCCAUGACGCAUGUUGUGGGGUGGAAAGCCUUGUGCGGCUGAGGAUGGGCCCGCGGCCUAUCAGCUUGUUGGUGGGGUGAUGGCCUACCAAGGCGACGACGGGUAGCCGGCCUGAGAGGGCGACCGGCCACACUGGGACUGAGAUACGGCCCCAGACUCCUACGGGAGGCAGCAGUGGGGAAUCUUGCGCAAUGGGCGAAAGCCUGACGCAGCGACGCCGCGUGAGGGAUGAC